AGGAGUAGCCAGACUGUCCACAUCAUCAUUUUAAAUCAGCCAAUAGGGUGUCUGAAAUUCGCCACGUCAGAUACUCGCCUACGAGGUGUUUUGAUUUUAGGGUUGAACCCGUCUUCCAUCUCCGCCAUUCGAUAGCGUUGUUUCAUCUCCUUCCCAACAAUUCCAAAAGCUCCCGUUACAGAUUCAUCGUUUUUUGCACCUGUGUUUGACGAUUCAAAAUCAGAAUCCUAUUUCAAUUCAUGGAUCUGAAAAUUAAUGAAGCUCUGGUGAUGAAAAUUUGUCUUGAUCAGAAGUCGGAGUCUUGGUGACAUUUAUGGCUGCAGGGUGUGGCGUGGUGUCCUGUAAAUUGAGCUUCUAUGGAGCUAAAUGGUGAACUCAUGAAGAAUCUGAGACUGUAGAUAACGAGAUGCCGUCCGGCAUCAUUAUUGAGCAUAAUGAAGAAAUUUUGGGAAUCAAUUCAUAAGAAAUGACCUCAGAUGGAGAAAGCCGUGAAGACGUUUGAAAGAGUCAACACUUCUAAAGGCGGCCGAGCGAUUCCGGAAGAUCAGAGACCUGACUGUUUCUUCUUUGUUGCCGGUAGUGGUUCUUGGAUUUACAUUUUUACUGCUCUCUACCCACCGUUUUUAGAACACUGACUAAAUGUCAUUGUUUUGUUUUGGUUUGGUGCAGUGCAGUGCAAUUUCAGAUACAUGUGUAGCCAUGAAGGAAUGAGUAGACGACCCUCACACAGAGACAACACUAAGCAGCAUCCUCCCAUGCGUAGACGAGCAAACAACAAACCAAACUCUUGCUCAAAUCAAAGUUGUCAUCAACAUCAUUGUCACCGUAGUGAACACCUUCGUCUAUGCCUUGGCCAACACAAACCCAUCUCCAGGCCAAAACUUCUACUACAACCAGUCCAGACCGCCAAUGCCUCCUCUCUGCAGCUCCUUCGACUCAAACAUGGAAGAUCGCGAGUGCGGCACCUGGGAACUGUCAAUAGAAAACGCAUCAUCGGUACAUACUUAUCUUUGUAAUGUAUUAAACUAAACACCAAAGGUCCAAGGCAUGUCUUAAUGAUUUUAGGUGUGGGAGAGCUACAUAUGCGAGGUAACAAAAUCCGAUGUCUGCACGAUGGUGGGGAGAGUGACGCCUGAGAUAUACAAGCAGCUGGUGGCGGCUGUGAACGAGAGCUACGCGUUGGAGCAUUACACGCCGCCGCUGCUUAGCUUUCGGGAUUGCAACUUUGUGAGGGAUAUGUUUGAGAGUAUUACAUCGGACUACUGUCCGCCCUUGGAGCGUAAUCU